rnacentral:rRNA from 1 species
GACGAAGGUGGCUAGCGUUGUUCGGUGUCACUGGGCUUAAAGCGUGUGUAGGCGGAGAUGUAAGCGUCUUGUGAAAUCCCCCGGCUCAACCGGGGAAUUGCGUGACGAACUACAUUUCUUGAGGCAAAUAGGGGUGCAUGGAACUCUUGGUGGAGCGGUGGAAUGCGUAGAUAUCAAGAGGAACGCCAGUGGUGAAGACGGUGCACUAGAUUUGUCCUGACGCUGAGACACGAAAGCGUGGGUAGCGAACGGGAUUAGAUACCCCGGUAGUCCACGCCGUAAACGAUGUCUACUAGGUUGCGGGAGUUCUGAUGCUCUCGCGGCCGAAGCGAAAGUGUUAAGUAGACCGCCUGGGGAGUACGGUCGCAAGGCUAAA